UUUGCUGUCAAUAUUUUACAUUAUUACAAGGACAUAAUAAAAAGAGGCUCUGCAGACCAAUGGAUGGUAAUUGGUCUCCUAGAAGAAGGCUGUCCAAAAAUGGCCUUAUUUUACAAAAACGGUGGACCCGUGCUAAAAAAAAACAUAGAAGUCAAUUUUCAGUAUGUUCUAUAACAUUAGCCAAAAUUCAAAGUGUAUUUCUUCUGAAUGUAGAAUUUAACAAAUAAAUACGUGUUAAAUACAGAUCUGAGACAGUCGGCCGAGGCAGACCACCAGCCACUUCCUCCACUGUUAGGGUUGUUGACAAAGCCGGAGAAACCACCACGGACCUUGUUCCCAUGUUUUAUGCUUGACAUUUUCAGAAGCACCCUAUUUCCAGUGUUUCUUUUAUCCACUUCACAAAUAUAUUCUUUUAAAAUAAUAACAACAAAAGAUUAAAGGUGCUUUCAUGUGACAUUAAAAUGACCGUCCAUUGGCAUUGGAGGAACUCCGAGAGCCACCGGGGUGCUUGGCUCAAAGUGCUAAUUACAGACGGCACACCUAGCCCACUGGUGACUGAGGGUGGCCCUUCCUCUCACCACUGAUCUCACCUCCUAGUGACAAGCAGAGAAAUGACUCAGAAAAUCAUUUCUGUACCCGCUCUCUGUGGGCCUGCGCUCAGAGAAUGGUGGGCGGGCAGCCUGGGCACCAGUUGACAGUUGUUUCUGUCUCAGUGGGCCUGACUCCUGAGGACGUCGGAGUAGCCUGUGGGACUCUGAGCGCUCACCUGUAUUUCCCUCUACUUCCAGGGACCUUAACUUGUGUGGCCGCAUGGUUGUGCUUUCGGGGAGUUUUAGCAUUUUAGAGGACUCACCAAAAGCACUCAGACCAAACAAAAAGCUUACACACAAACCGUAAUGCAAAGACAACGGAAUGUGUACCAUCGUUCAUCCCUGGUCCCCAGCCGCACAAUCAUUUAUAUACAAAACCAAACCAAACAUAAAACCUACAGGCAUUUAAACAUAGUCUUUAGGUGUUUAACUACAGAAGCUGAUUCAACAGGCAGUCUGGGUGGUUUAAGGAGGAUGUAACAGAACGGUCUCGAAAGAACUUUGUCCACAUGGAGAACUAUCACAGGACAACAGACAUGUUAGUGAGGGGAAAUUCCAGCAGACGGAAGGGUAUUUUCAGUCUCUGGCCACUUUGGUCAUGAAUUGGAAGCAGAUGAGCUUCUUAUGUUAGAUCUGAUCAGAUCACCUUGAUUGUUCAAGAAGCUGCAGUAACCUGCUGAAGCUGGGAGUCAGUUUCACUGACACUGAAUAAACCUGCCUCCGCUGGGUGUGCUCACGUACUGUGCCCUGUGGAUGUGGAAGGCCUGGGACCUAAGGGGUGAUGGGACUGUGCCUUCGUAGGAUUGGUCUUCUGAUUGCUGCUCCAGGAGGGCAGCUAUAACUAGCAUGGAAGGGGGACCCACAGCACCCCACACCCAAUUAAAGUGCAGCCAUCCUCGGGUGGGGAGCAAGUUUGUUUCCAGCCUCACUGGGUGCACACACUAGUCUGGCAUUUCUUAUGAGUUGGCAGUUUUCCCCACCAAAUUCUUUGUAAGAGGAAGAUUCUUAAGUAAGGUGGUUUUGGUUAAAAAAAGAAAAAGCAUGAGAUGGUGAGUUGAAAAAGAUGGUUUCCUUACACAGGGAUCCAUCCACAUCCGUCUGUCUGCUUCUCUUAGCCCUGAAGGUUCCAACAUAGGCCACUUAGAGACCUGGGCCUCCGGGAAGACAGGCUCACCUGUAAUGAUUGUCAGGCACUCAGUGCUACAUGAAGAGAAGAGGAGGCAGGGUUUGGAUGUGCCCUGCAGGUUACUACUGGACCUGCCUUGGAUCUCCUCGUAGCAUUCUCACUUACUCUGAUGCUAUAGAAAUUCCCAACAAAUAAGAAAGGGAGUGAUGUUUGGUUUUCCAGGAAGGAGGCUAUUGGGAAACCACCAUGGAGUGUUGAUGCUUUCACAGUGUCCUGGGGGUAUUUAUUUAGGUAGACUGGCUUUGAAUUCAGGUCCUCACAGUGCCCUCUCUCAUGAGGCUUUGGAAAAUCAUUUAACAUGACAUAAAUUGAAUAACUUAGAUACUGCUCUUAAGAAGGGUACAGAGAAUACAAAGUGGGUUAUUGUAGACUGAUGUGGGAAGAUGGGAUGCCCAGGGCUUUACAGUAGAUUAUUCCAGCAUUUCUUUAGGCAGAGGUCAGCUUACUAGCCCAAGAGAAUAGGGACAUCUUCAACAUGGACAUGCCCACGGGCAGUAGUCUUUCUGUCCCUAAAUGUCCGAAUGCCUUGCUGGUAAAGAUACUCAUUCAGCAUACGUGGCACCUGGGCAUACAGCUCGGCUCACAGGCUGUAUGCUCUGGCUUCUUGGGUCUGCAUAUUCCCUGUAGGGUGCGAACCCCUGAGAAGAUACUCUUGUGUUUAUAAGCCAACGGUGAAGGCCUUUCUGUUAUGGCAAAGCAACAAAGUAACAAGAAGGCAAAAACAAGAUCAGAGAAUAGUGCCCCUGAGCACUCCUGGGCCAGACAUGGCAGAUACGAGGGGACAUGCUCUGUGGCAGGUCUGUAACUGCUACAGAGCACUCCAGUUGCAUCUUACUGGUUUGGGUGCACAGUUCUGAAAUUCAAGAAGAGACUUCAAUAUUCUUGUUUGAGGAUUCUUACAAGGCUAGUAAGGAAGCCAAACCUGCCGGUUAGUUUUUCAUUAAUAGAGUAAAACUCAGAAACAUUCCCAGCCUCUCCCUGUAGCACUGGCGGCUCACACACAGGAAGGCUGUUACUCAGUUUACCCAUGCUUAUGAAAGGCUUGCUUCCCGCCCUCUGCACUCUUGCCAUUCCCGAGACAGCAGGGACCACACGCCCAUCAGUCAACUCAAUCCCUUCAAACAACUGCUUGGAGGUUUGAGGUGUGUUGUCUUGGGCAGUAGCAGGCCUCCCACAGCCCGAGGCUGGCUCACUGGGCUUUUGGGCUGGGCUUUUGGGCUUUUCCCCGGGUCUCAUUGGUGUUCUCAGUGCUGCCUUCCUGGGACCCCUUUGUGGGAUACACACUCCCUCACCCUGCUGUCCUGUGCUCUACCUCAGAAUGUUUCUUAGGUAAAGUCAAACUCAUCAGCGCCCAGUGCUGCUCAGGAGGGUCCCUCAGCAGGGCCCUCAGUAGGAACCAUUUAGCCAAGGGUAGCCCAAGCAUGUUCUCAUUUAGGACACGUCAGCCCUGGCCUGUUCUACUGCAUAAAAGUGUCCUAAUGAGAUGGGAAGCAUUGUGGCCUUCACCUAAGGAAUGAGCUCAAGACCUAGAAGCUUUGGCUACUCUCCUAGACUGAGCGCAUGGGACCACGUGUUCACUGGGUAGAAGACAGUGAGGGGACCGGUACCUCACAUGGUGUCAGCCCUGGGUGGAGUGCCAAGUGGCUCCUGCUUCAGGGAG
rnacentral:lncRNA from 1 species